UCUGUUUUCACAAGUCUCGAUCCACUUUCAAAUGUUUAGAGGUAUUUGAAACUUUUACGUCCGAGUUUUAACCUCGUAUUAUUUAAGUACUCGUGAUAACAAUUCUACAGUAAACUAAUAUACAAUUUCUACCGCAGAUGUUCGUAACAACCAACCCGAGGGAGAACCCAUUAAAUUAUCGAAAGCUACGUCUGCUGGAUAACGAUGAACAUUCGAUAUUCACGAGGAAGAAAAAAUUGUUUCGAUAUAGCGAACCAUCGAUAGGAUGUGGCGACGCUUCCCGAUUUCGCCGCUAGAGGGACACCCAAUCGUUUCUCUUGCUCGCAGGAGCAAGCAUUUGAUACCCAUGCUGGUACACUCUACGUCGUCCACUCACAUUGGAUCCGAUUAUGGCGACGUUCGUACCAAUGGUUGAAGCGGAAAGAGCGACGAUGAAUUUGCUAUACACGUGAGCUCGGUAGAAUCGAGAAAUAAGACCGAUUCCAUGUGUCUUAGGCCCGGCAGUUUGCGUGUAGCGGAUAUACGCCCGAUUUUUGCAGAGCAACCCUAGUUGACACGAAUCCACGAAGGUAAGCGAACAAUGGUAGUUAAGAAACGGGUAGAAAAACGAAUGUCGCUUGCCGAUAAUAAUUUGGAUUUCAGCCGUGUCAAGAGCGGGAAGAAUAGAUUCACAUUCGCCUUCGUUCUCGACACCACGACGCUGCGCGAAGUACCGUGCGCACGUACACACAGCACGCAGUAUAUGCUGCUUUUUCCACCGACCUGCUUGUCGUUUCCGACGCACUCUCUUUUCCCUUUCUUUCUCUUCCGCUUCAACCUUCGAACAAAGGUCGCCAUAAUCAAAUCCAAUGUGAGUGGGUGUAUCCUUAAGAAGUACUGUUAUGCGUAAACAUCACUCCUUUACACUUUUCCUCAGCACUCACUUCGUGCAUGCUGUGAAGAUCCUGCUAUUUCACGAGGGAACCUGCCCUAUGAUCCUUCCACGACAUAACAGUACAACUAGUAAAUGGAUGAAUCUACGUUUAGAAUUUCCGAGUGAUGGAUGAUUGAAGAAAAUGUUCGAAGUGUCCGCCUCAUGCCUCAACACACACUAGUUCACGUCAUAGCAUUGUGUUUCUGCAAUCUCUCGAAAAAACGCCGAAUAAAUAAAAUAAAUAUAUGUAUAUACAUAUA